AGCUAAUAUUCCAGCCAUUUUGUUUUGACGAGAGCUAGUCCAGAUCUAGACUAGAUCUACUUGAUCAACGAUUUACACUGAUGUAAAACCUACGUAAAUCAAAUCUACAAGAUCAGGAUUUACAUUUAGAUCUAGAAAUCUACAUUAUUGACUAGAGAGAAAAAGUUAAAAGUAUGCCUAGUGCGUCGAAAGUUCAUCCAAAAAAAAGGGAAGAUCUGAUUUUUACCAGUAAUAAGACUACAGCAUACUAAAUGACACAAGAUGUUCUUUCUCUAUUACCUCUUACAUUUGACAUAAAAGUAGGAAAAGGUUUAACAGUCUAUGCCUACAACAUAGAUCUCCAGGACUAAAAGUACACAAAAUGGCAAUCAGUAUAUCACAAGUGUAAUAACACAUGCAUCUAAUCUGCUUCAGUGGCGAGAACUGGGUGAAUCCUCUCAAACAUUAAUCAGGAACUAGGCAUACCUAAUGAGCGUCAAGCUGAUACAGUAGAUGUACAGAAGAGUUUAUACACAAGGAAGUGAAAAGUGAUGUAAAAGGCAACUAAUACUUCCAUCUACCAUAGUUAAACAAGAAUCUGCAAAUGGUGAUAAUUGCAAUAAUCUUGAUAUAUUAAUGUAUGGC